UACAGAGGUCCCAAGCGUUGUUCGGAUUCACUGGGCGUAAAGGGUGCGUAGGCGGUCGGGUAAGUCUGACGUGAAAUCUCCGGGCCUAACCCGGAAACUGCGUCGGAUACUAUCCGGCUAGAGGAUUGGAUGGGAGACUGGAAUACUUGGUGUAGCAGUGAAAUGCGUAGAUAUUCGCAAGAACACCAGUGGCGAAGGCGGCUCACUGGCCCGGUACUGACGCUGAGGUGCGAAAGCGUGGGGAGCAAACAGG
rnacentral:rRNA from 1 species